GCCUGUUUAACAAAAACAUAGUUUAAAGAAAAAAAUUUUAGGUAGUUCUGCUCAGUGAUUAAAUUUUAAAUAGCUGCAGUAAAUUAACUGUACUAAGGUAGCAUAAUAAAUUGCUUUAUAAUUGAAAGCUUGGAUGAAAGAAAUAAUGUGAAAUAAACUUUUUAAAAUAAAAUAGUAUAAAUUAAUAUUUAAGUGAAAAAUCUUAAAUUAAAUCAAAAGACAAGAAGACCCUUUAGAACUUAACAAAUAAGUCUAGCUUUACUCGACCUACUUGCUAAAUUGGGGAGAUUUUUAAAUAAAUAAAUCUUUAAAUAUAAGUAAAAUGAUAUUAAUCAAGUUAAGUUAUCCAAGUAUGAAAUAAAACAAGUUACCUAAGGGAUAACAGCGCAAAAUUUUUGAAAAGUUCUCAUUUACAAAAUAUAUUGCGACCUCGAUGUUGGAUUAAGAAUAAUCUAUAAAGAAAAAUUUAUAGGAAUUGGUCUGUUCGCCCAAUUAUUCUU
rnacentral:rRNA from 1 species